rnacentral:rRNA from 1 species
UACGGAGGAUGCAAGCGUUAUCCGGAAUGAUUGGGCGUAAAGCGUCCGCAGGUGGCAAUGUAAGUCUGCUGUCAAAGCGUCUGGCUCAACCAGAUAAAGGCAGUGGAAACUACAUAGCUAGAGUAAGGUAGGGGCAGGCGGAAUUCCGGGUGUAGCGGUGGAAUGCGUAGAGAUCCGGAAGAACACCGGUGGCGAAGGCGGCCUGCUGGGCAGUUGCUGACACUGAGGCGCGACAGCGUGGGGAGCAAACAGG